AUGUAUGGCAAGCCUGUCCGCCGCAUCGGCGACGGCUACGUCGAUAACGUUACACCAGAAACCGUGAAGGAGGACAUACUCCUCCUGCUCGACGACAUCCACGGCUUCUACAAGGCGGCGCUCGAUCGGCUGCCUGUAAAGAGGAUGCCCGCGCUGGCUCCCUGCCUUCUCAAGGCCGGCGUGUGCUUCGGCUUCCUCGACCCAGUCUCCAACAUCAUGCUCAACACCAUCGCCUACUCGCAGCGGUUGCCCAGCACCGAGAGUCAAGAAGGGGCCACUAGAAAGUCGAUCUUCUCCAAGAUCUCCACUGACACUCAGGAUCGCAGAAUUUUCCGGAUACCGCUGCCCGGACACAUGGCGGGCGGCAUGACCAUCGCGCGGCUGUCGCUGGAAGGUCUGGUCAGCUUCCUCCUGUUCCACUUCCGCUACCUCGCGGAGACGGAAGCCCUGCGCUACCUGCGCCUGGCCAGGGCCGACCUUGUCGCCGCCGUGCAUCUCAUCAACCAAGAUCGUAACAAGUCGUGUUCGGCGUCUGGCAUUGCCAAGAUUCACAACAGGCCCGCGUUCGACAUUACAUCUCCUACCUCCAAGGUUGCCCUGGAGUGUGCCGCUGCCUCUGCGAGGCACCCUGAACCAGCCAUCCUGGUGAACGCGUCGCUGUCGGCGGUGUCUCGGCUGAGCAAGGUCUCUAGCCUUUUGCAGGUGCAUCGCCUGCCCCCUCGAACUAUAAGGCGCCUGGAGCUGUUGCUCAGGCGAGAGCCUAAAGUUAUGGAUCAAAUGGCCAUAAGGCGUCCGCUGAAUCUUGCUGGGUCACGUCUCCGUGAUGGAAAGGAGGAGAAGAGGGAUCUUGCUGGAUCUAUGGUGAGCGUUGCACAUGGGAAGGUAGAGAUCGAUGUGACUGUGACAUAUAGAUAUACAGAGUCUCUUAAGCUGUUGCUUCUCGACAAGAUCCACCUGCUCUACCUAGAUGCACUUUCUAAGUUUCCUAGGGAUAGCUUGCGCAAACAUCACCAUUGCAACCUUCUCAGGGCUGGUUAUUGCUAUGGUCUAAUGGAACCUGUCUCCAACAUCAUUUUCAACACCAUCUGGUACCUCAAUGCCUUUAGGGAAGCAGCUGUUAAUUCAUGGCACCCUCUCCCUAAAGCACUGGAGAAAUUCAUCCUGUCAGCCCUGAACAUGAAUUCGACUGAGUUGUCAACGAUGCUGACCCAUGCAGUCAAGAACUGCAGAUUUGAGGGACUUGCCAUGUCUGUGUCACCUAAAUCUUCACCUACCAAGUCAGAAGAGCAGGUUCAACAACUGGACAAGUUGGCCUCGAGCUCGGAGUUCUUAUCUGAAAACCAAAAAAUGUUCAUUUCAGAGAUUCAGAAAAAAUUUAAGGCUGACCAAAAUUUCUAUGUCAGGAAGGUCAAAGCUGCGUUGAAGAGCUACUCCCAGAAACAAGGGGUGUACUAUGAGCUUCAUGUUAUUUGUGGCGUGAAUCCUCAUGCGGUCAAGGGUGGAACUGCUGAUCUUUUUAAGAAAAAGGGCAAAUUUGAAUACUCCCACAUCAACUUUUGGGCAACACGCGAGGGAUCAAAUUCUGCUGCCACAGAUCCAGUACUGUUCUUCGCUGAAUGCAGCAAUGAUGAUGAAGAUGACAAGGAAACACCUCCCCUGUGUGUACCAGUAUUUAGUUCUUGGAUCUCUGAUGUUCGUUGCUUCCACUGCGAGUUUCUAGGGAAAAAAAUUGUUCACCCAUAUCAUGAAUCAUAUUAUGGGCGUUACGAGGACUUUGUUGGAAUGGCUCGUGGAGACCAUAGCAUUUGCAAUGAAGAAAUUAUCAGUGCAUGCGACUUCCAUGCUGAUAUGAUGUGCACAUUAAAAGAGGAUUGGAUCUUUUUUGAUCCCAACAUGGAUGCUAUGAUUGCUCGAGCGAAUCCCAUUAAGAAUUUGUCUACGGAGAUGGUGAAAUGGAAGAACAGAAUCUUUUGA
rnacentral:rRNA from 1 species